UAAUCCCGCAAGGGGAAAUUACAGUGAUGGCUCGCUGUUCUUGCUCAGUUCAUGUUCUGGUUUCUUUACCUAAUAUGAUGUUGAUGUUAAAUAUUUAAUAAACUUCUUUUAUUAUUCUAUGGCUUAAAGGAACUCAGGGUAACUGUCGUUUCAUGCUUGUGCUUCAUGUUUCUUUCACAAUGUCAAAUUCCUGUUACUCAGUCAAUGUGAUGUCACUAGGGAUUUGUUACCUGACCCCAUCUGAAGGCAGCGUGUUACAUCAUCAAUGAAGUCGAGGUAUGUUGUCUCUGUGAGAUCAUAAAUGAUGAUGUCUCACAUAAACUGUGACAUCAUCAGUGACAUCACAGAGUAUCGUCAUGAGGGUCUAUAAAAAAGACCCAUCAGGUUACUCCCAUCAGGUUGUUUUUUGACAAUGCCAGGCAGACGCAGACAGGCCGCUCGCCCCGUUCACAGACGUAGGAGGACCCGCAGGUCCACCCACGUACACAGACGUAGGAGAGUUGUCCGACGUAGACGCUAGGCAACGCCCAUAAACAUCCAUUUUUAGGGCUGGA